GACGAACGCUGGCGGCGUGCUUAACACAUGCAAGUCGAACGGUGAAGCCCUUCGGGGUGGAUCAGUGGCGAACGGGUGAGUAACACGUGAGCAACCUGCCCCUCACUCUGGGAUAACUCCGGGAAACCGGUGCUAAUACCGGAUACGAGCAUCGGCCUCAUGGUCUGGUGCUGGAAAGAAUUUUGGUGGGGGAUGGGCUCGCGGCCUAUCAGCUUGUUGGUGAGGUAAUGGCUCACCAAGGCGACGACGGGUAGCCGGCCUGAGAGGGCGACCGGCCACACUGGGACUGAGACACGGCCCAG
rnacentral:rRNA from 1 species